rnacentral:lncRNA from 13 species
AUGUCCCCAGAUACCCAGAAACAACAUUUUCCAGCCAGAGCUCUCUACAGAACAAUGAGGCAAAGGAGCUGGAAGUCACAGCUAAGAAGCAGACCACAAACCACCAAUGUCUGUGCACCCGGAGAGAAACCGAGAGGAAAACAACCCUGUCCGCUACAGCAUCGUUCUCCCCACAGAGGACCCCUAGGAAGAGCCCCAGCGACCUUGCUCCAAGUCCAGCAAUUUCCAGCUGCUUUGGCGAAAGAUUGUACCUGCUUCACACCCUGAACUGUGAAUGUCUUGUGAUUGCUGUAUUUAAGGAAGAGGCCUGAUCCCUUAGCCAAAACCCUGGAGAACAGAUGUGCUUUGGAACUGAGAACUUUUCAGAUCUUAAAAAGGUAUUAUGGUGCAUCUAUCCCAUAUCACAUAACAGCCCAGGUAGGCCUGGGGUAGCCCCCCACUGUCAAUCACACUAACAAAUCUGCUGUGAAGGUAAGGAUAUUAGCAUUAAAAGGGAUAAUUAAAGGCAGUACUUACUUCAGUUCAAACCAGGUGUGGACCAAAUAAGUUGAGAAAAACUGUUUGUUGUGCUUUUUUAAUUUUGAAAUUGAUAAGGGAUUGUGGACCUGUACUCCUUUAGGAAUUCCCUUGGGUUUCCACCAGGGCUGCUGCUGGAGAGAACAAAGAGCUUGUUUAUCCACUUUCCCGGCAGACUCCAGAGUACUUCAAACUUAGCUUACAUCAAAUAGAUCUAUCUAUAAGUACAGAGAGUUUAGCUGAACGGGGAAUUGCAAUUGUAAAGGUGUAUAUAAAGUCUUAGUGGACCCAGGAAAUCCCCCAUAGUCACCCUACAUUGCUCACGUGCCCAUCUGGGGUUGGGGUCAGGGGCUCAGGUGCCAGGGCAAUGCCGCAGCCCUAGCACGUGAUGUGAGCCCAGCCUUGGGGGCCACGUCUUCAAGCUGUUCAGGCCGUUCCCCUUCACCACAUUUAUGAUCAGCUUUGUCUGAUAAUACAGCCAUUACACUUUAAAGUGCAAGCAGUCUGGAAAGGUUAGAUAAAAGGGUAGGCAUGAGUGAUUAAAAGAAAAAAUACAAGUCCCUGGGUGAGACAGUAGAGAUGUCGAUUUAGGUCUUAAAAGAAGAACAGCCUUAAUAUCGAGGAAUCCUUGCUGGGCCCAGGUUACCUAGAUACCACCUCUCAGUGAAAAUAUAGAUCUGUUUCCUUGCCAGGCCUCAGUAGCUUUCAAAUCACAGCUUCUUGGAUUUAUUGCAGGUCAUUAACUGCUGUG